AAACCCUAGCCGGCACCAUUCCUCUGCCUCUCCUCCUCUCUCUCCGCUCUCUCUCCUGCCAAGCGACGGCCGCCGCCGCUGCUUGCCGUCCCCCUCAUCCUCUUCUUCCCGCAGUUGGCGACCUCCCCCGCGCACUCCCUACUGCGAGCCGCUGCUGUCGCCGUGCCGUCGUCCUGCCAUCGCCAUCCUUUCGCUCCCGCCGCCGCAUCCGCCAACGAGGAGGCCGGGACUGUCGGAUCCGGUGACUCCGGCCUCCUCGCCGGCAGAUCCGGCCGCCCUGAAGCGGGGGAAGCCUGGAGCCGCCCUCUACUCUUCUCCCUCUACGCCCGGCACAGCCCCUCCCUCUCCCUCUCCAUCUUCAUUUCCGGAUCGAUGGAUGCCUGUGAUUAGGUGGCCUAGGGCUCAUGGUUGACGGCGUUGGUUGAUCCGGCGGCGCAGCACACGAUCUGGUGGUGGUGCGACGCAAAGGGAUCGACACAGUUCAGCCAAGCAAGGCAGAUAUCUGCAUCUCAGCAGCUACAUGCGCAUCCAACCUCUGCCAUCAGGCUUUGUACGGAAGCCUGAUUUCUUGCAUUCUUCUUCAUUAACCUACCCUCUAUUUCUAUUGGUGAUGUAGUAGCAGAUUGUUGGUAAGGUACAGGGACGCCCAGUUGCUCCGAAAGAUUGUCUUCGCCCGCAGCCCCCUGUUGCUGUCUUGAGCUCCUUGGUCAGUUCAGUGCCUUCUUUAAUGUUUGUUUCUCCAAUAUUUGAAGAGUGGUGAUGGAUAGAAAUAGGAAAUGAAAGAAGCCGCUUUUGAGAGGUACAUAUUGGUUAUUCAACUACACCAGAAAUUACCCUAUUUAGCACAGAGUUGAUUGAAAGAUUGAGAUGUAUUUCUUGCUUUCUCACAUCUGUUUCAUUCACCUGUUGUGUAAUGCAAUAUACAGAUAAUAAGUUUGUUCUUUAGAAAACCCUUCCUGUAGAUGGUGAUUAAUAUAUGCUCUAGAAUUUAAAUAGCAGCUGUCAUUUUUUCUGCCUUUCAUUCAUGGUAGAGAUAACAUGAACAAAGAGCUGCAACCUUUUAAGUUUUAACCUUUCUAAUUCUGAUUUACUCACCUUAAUUUUUCCCUUAGGUAUAGCUGGCUUCAAAACAUAUAUGCUCCCUCUCCACCCAUAACAGCAAAUUCAGAUGCAUUUCAUCCUUUCCCGCAUAGUUCCAGUGGAGCUGAAUGAACACUGGGUUUUAUUAUUUUGUACAGAACUCAAAUGCAACUUAAUAUUUGCAUAAAUCCAGUAUGCAUUGCUUCUCCGUGCACCCACAACAAUAAGCAUUCUUUUUGGUACAAUCUGAUGAUGUUUCUACAGCUUACUGCCUCUGCAUCGAAGACCAGCCAAUCUGGAAGAUUGAAAAAAUGGAUUGCUUGAAGAACAGAAGACAUUGUAGGAGUUCUCUUUGUAUGGCUACAACAAGAUGGUUGUUGUAGCACUGAGCAUCAGAAGUCAUUGUUGCCAAACUCAUAAUCUGAAUGGUAAUGCGUGAAAUGUUUUGGUACUAUCAGUCACCGACUCAUGGUGCUCUCUAAUUUGACAGCAAAAUUUGUUGCUGAACAGGACUACUUAAUUGCUAUGAUCUAAUUCUUACUAUUUCGUAUAUGAUCUAAUUCUUGAUCAUCUGGUGUGGCACUUUAUUCUAAAUUUUUGAAGCGCCUAUGUGUUCACUCCCUUUAUUUUGUUGUUUUCAAAGGCCAUGAUCUGCCAAUGGAACUCAACAGCUCAUCAGUGCUAAUUACCAGAGGAGAUAAUGAAGUGAAGGCUUUGGUUGCUCCUGCAUCACUGCUUGCCCAUAAUGCUGAAUUGGAGGGGAAGUGGUGGUUCAGAAGAUCGAGGACAGUGAGUGUAAAGUCAGUUACAAUGCGAUGAACAUUAAGUAUGAGAACUCGAUCAAGGCAAGUGUUAUCAACCCAGCUAAGGUGAGAAGAUGCAUGCUCCAGAACGCAGCCUGAGUGGUUGCAAUGGUCCUCACCUUACAGGCCAUUGUUAUUGAGCAGCCGAAGCCCAAGGCUCCUGUUUAUCAGCUAACAGAGGGAACCAACACACUAUUUCAGGAUAAGCCACAUGACAUGCUGCCAAAAACCUGGUCAUGUCAAGGACAAAUCCUGACACCCGGUAGGUGUUUGCUACACAUGUCACUCCUAUCAUUCUUGUUAUAUUGCAAUUGUCAAGAGAAAUUAAGCUUUGGAAUAAGUGUGGUUAUCUGAUUUACAUAUGAGUGUGUUGGGUUGUGGGGAUAUUCAACAAAUAAUGGAGUCGCGAGUCUGUACUUGUCAAGAAGCAGCGAUAGAUUCAAUGGAGGCAUUAGCACUUGGAUGGUCUUACAAGAAUUUAGUGCAAUGGAUAUGUGCCUUUUAUUCUCUUAUAAAAUUGCCAGUUUGUUUGUCCUUGGAGGCUUGGACACGAAAUGUUUGAUGACAUUAGGCUUAUCAUCUUAUUGCCUGCUAUGCUAAAUUGUCAUUAUGGUCUAUUUUUUUUUUCAACUUGUUCUUUUCUCAGGACACUACAAGAUAUUUGACAUUGCUGGUGUUUUAGAGUUUUUUAUGGGCUACAUUUGAAUAUCUGAUCAUUGGUCAGCACUGAUUCCAUGGGUAUUUAUUUUUUUUAUAUCAAGAUUAAAUUGUAUGUUACAAAAUCGAUACUCUUGUGCCAUAAUUGUUUUUCGUCCACGCUGCUUAAAAAAAAACCAGUAAAAGCAAAUUCUGUUAGCUGAGUAGUCAUUUUGCCUGAUAUAAUUAACCACCUGCAUCAACGUGAAUUAUGACAAACUCAACUUUUCUGAUGCCAUUGGUGCGGCGCGCUAACUCUAGUCUAAAGUCUUCAAACCUACUGGGAAAUGAAGCUCCCACGGCAUUUUGAGCUGGCGUGGCCAUCUCGAGGUCGCGACGCGUGGACGCGUGCUGGAAAACGGUGGGAUUUCUCGUGCGUCCGCGUCGGCCCUGGUCAUUUUGCAAAAAGUCCGGCUAUUUAUCGAUAAUUUGUUUUACGUGCCUACUCAUGGGGUUUACAUGUACUGGUUUCUUACGAAUAAGCCCUCUGUAAUCCAAAAUAUUCUAGGUAAAGAAGCGAAAAACCAUAAAAUAGGACUGCGCUUAGAAAAAUGGAAAGUAAAGGUUUUUUUCGAAAAACUUUUUACCCCUAUCGCCCCCUCCCGCGAAACCCUAUCCGCCGCCGGCCCGCCGUUCCCCGCUCCUCUCCUCUCUCGCGCGCUCUCCCUAGCCCACGCCGCCGCCUCCUCCUCCUCCUCGCGCCUCCCGCCCCCGCUACGCCGCGCCGCAAACUCUCCUCACUGCGUCGCCGCCGCCGCGCCUCCCGCACUCUUCUAGCACCCAGGUGCAUCACCGCACCUCCCUCUUGCCACCGCGAGGCAGGUUCUGGUGGAGGGGAGGUCGUGCCCGCCUGAUCCGGCAACCACGAUCUCCCUGCCGGCAGAUCCGAUCACCCGGAGGCUUGGGAUGAUCCAGAGCCGGUGGGGAAGUUGGAUGUGACAGAUCAAGGCCGCCGGAUCUGUUGAGCUCAGCAGCGGCAGCAGCUUGGCGAUGAUGGCAGCAAUGUCUCAGACAUGCCCUCCUCCCCACUGGUGACAAGCAUGAGGCCACGGCCGAAGCUUAUCUUUCGCACCUCCAUCAGACCUUGUAAUUCUAGGGAAGAAGCUCGGCCAACUGCGACCUUCUAACGCAGGGAAGGAUGGAAAGGAGUGGCUCCUGCUUGAAGAGCUGCAGGGACAGAUCGCCAGGAUACAGGGCAGCCUCGAGGAAUGUGAACCAUGGCAAUCUGCAUAGCCCUUCAUUUGGAAGCUAUGUCCCCCCAACUAUUGAGUACUAUUUUUUUAGCUCCACCUCCCUUUUCAUUCAAGGUAAAAUUGAAAAUAUCAUUUGAAAGUUUGUAAAAUACUAUGUAUUUGGCGUUUGAAUCCUACAUGGCUGCACAAUAUUUGCACACUAUCUCUGAAUUUUGGGUAAAAGUUAGUAAUUAUUUUAAAGACAAGCUAGAUAUAUGGAGUUUUUAAAAUAUAACCUCUAUUAUUAGUUAUUGGUUCUCGCUGGUAAAGCAAGUAUACAGUUAAUCAAUCUGGGCACUGCAACCUUAAAGCAAAAGUUUUCCUUACUUAGUUUUCCUUACUUGUUCUUGCUUUUCUUCAAAUUAAGUUGAAAUCUAAAUAUUCAUCCAGUGAUUUUGGAAGAUGAAAAACACUCGUGUGUAUGAUGGAGUUUAUAGGAGAGUAGCACAGUUACUUGCAAGACAUUUGUCCCCUUUUGAAACAAAGUACUUAUUUAUUUUAUAUAGUACAAGAUAUUUGUUCAGUGAGUAGAUAAAAAUCCAGUUUGUUGUGAAGGCUUUCAAAUGGGCUAAUUUUGCACUAUAUGAUUAGCCCUUUGCUUAUAUAUGAACUUUUUUUUUAACAUUCUCUUGCUGUUGCUGCUGCUUAGUGACAUUUCUCAUUCUGUGCUUUCAGCAGGGCAGCUUUGCUCUUAUGCAAGUGACAUGUUAACACUGCAGUUGUUAUACUAUAGGCUGUGUGAUAGUGUGCUGGUCAAGUCGGACGCAUACUAAAUGUUUGUGAUCUUUUGAUGAUUAAUUUACCUUGUUUUAUAGGUGUAGAAAUUGGUGGAAGCAUAGUUGGUUUGUUUCUGCUCUCAUUUCAGGUCUACUUGUCCCGUACUGUUUGCUGCCGGCGUGGACGCUGCUGAGUCCCCACACAUCAGCCACGACUAGAAUCCUGGAAUAGCCGCUACCAUAUAUAUGGCGUUUGCUUCCUAGAAUCCUUUUGCUUUACAUAAAACUGCAAUCCAGACUAUGAACAAACACUUAUGGUUCAAAUCCUAUAACCCUUAAUUAUUAUUACUCUAAAUGUCUACUGCUUUGAUAUGAUCCUUAUCUUCAGCUUAAACAUAUGCCAUGAAAAAAAAAUGCAUGAGGUAACUCUCAGCCAACUAUGGUUUGCUAUCCUCUAGAUGGAAAGGUAUAGCUGGGGUACAUAUUUGUAGCUAAUCUGGGAUGAGCUACAUUUUUUUUCCAGCCUGAUUCAUGUCUAGCAAUGUAAGCUUUAUAAAUAUUUGAUCUUAGUCAAUCUUGUGGAAAUGGUAUUAUUUUGGCUUAAUUUUCCUUUCUUAUCUUUCGGAAUAACAUAGCUUCCUGAUCACCAAACUGCUCAUGCUCCUUGAUUAGAACAUAAAUGGUUAGUAAUAAAAAUGUAUUGUCCCUCCCCAUAUCUCUGUUUCCCCCCCAUUUUUCCAUGGUUGUAUGGGUUUGGUCCCCUUUUAUCAGUCAAGGACAGGACUGCUCUUGGGCGAGUCAAACAAUUUCCACUUAGCACAUUCCUUUCGUUAUUUUUCGGAGCAAAUCAUUUUUCUAUAAAAAAUGCUUUACCCUACUCUACUCCACUACUAACAUCUCAACACACUCUGUUUAUGUGAGCAAACAUAUAUAAAUUAUGUGUACAACCGUACCUCUCACAUAUGUAGUUUUUUAUCUGUAGAUUAAUUGAAUAUGCACAUGAGAAUUGCUUGAUUAGGCCUGGUGUUAUGGUGCUGAAUUGCUGAUUGAAAAGCUGGUGAUAAUGUUGGUAUCGUUUUGGUAUUAGUUCAUAUUUUAGAAAGGUUGCAAGCUUAUUGCUAUUAUGUUGGCUUAAUACUCACAGGCAGAUGUUGUUUUUGCAUGCUAAGUGAUAUUGAUAGGUGCUAAGCUCUUGGAAAUUGUUACAAACCAGAAACAUAAUUACCUCAUUCAGUUUUUCUACAAUAAAUAUUUUUCUCUUGAAUGACCAAAAUUAAUUCUAUGCCUUCUUUUUGCUUAAUUGUUGAUUACACAUUUAUGCUAAACUAAUUACUGCUCUUUCUGUGACAUUUUAAGCAUCCUCUGACAAGUGUUAGGUAGAGCCUGCUUUCAUUUGCCGCAGAUCGGGUUUAAGUGUAUGAUCAACAAAGUGGAACACUCAUGGAUAUCAUACCUAAUUAUUGUUGUUAACCAGGAAACGAACUCGGCAAAUCCAGAGAAAGUGUCGACACCUAAGAUUUUGAAGCACACAGCUGACAAAGUGGACAUGGUGUAACAAUUUCUAGAACAAGAUGCACCAUUUAUAGAGAAAAAUGUAGUACACGUAUUCCCAUAGCAGUCCUAGGAGUGCAAUUGAUUUUUUUACAUGGAUGAAAUGGAAGGCACGAUACUCUGUUCCUGUGAAUGAAUUGAGACCAUCCUAAUGUUGGUUUGCACAGUUUGAUCAUGCAAAGUUAUAGAAGAUGUUGUGGUGGUCUUGCGGAGGUGGGUAUCCAUUACUGGUGAUUAAGGUGUUAAAUUUGCUUGGAUUUUCCAUUGCUCAGAAUUGUAUAUUUCCAUUACUGAAAAUUGCAGGCAACAAGUUUGAUUCCAUUGGCCAAUAUAAUCUUUUAGUGAUGUUGUGUAAAAUGUUAUGUCAAAUCCAUGAGUAUUACCCACACUAGAACCAAAUUUGUGCCACAAUGUGUUGUGAUUAUUGCUGAGGCAUAGAAUUUAUUUGUAAAAAAAAAUGUGUUAUUAGCUUGACAGAAGAAAAAAACUACCAGAUUACGUUUUAUAGGAUAAACAUUGAACUAAUUUGUUUAGUAUGACAUUUUGUUGAAGCUAUCUUUUUCUUAAUGACUUUGGAAGUAAUGUAGUGUUUCAUAACUAAUUACAAUACCUUCAAUGAAGAGAUUAUCGUCCUAAUGCUUUUGUUUCAUGUGCACUCUAUUGCGUUAAAAAAAGAAGAAGUGGAACCUGAAGAACUUUAGAGGACCUCGCUUGGCCAGUUGGCCUGUCUCUGUGUCAUUAUAGCUUCUCACUUACAGGCAACCAAGGUCUCUUCAUGGAUUAUUGCUUGUGGAUGGCCAUGCUCUUCAACAAAAUGAAAAGGUUAAAUAUAAUGAAAUAUUAUUUCCUUGAUCCCAUAAAGCUUCAGAUGUAGAGUGUGAGCUUGCUGCCCUGUGAGCUAAAAUUCCAUUUUUUUACAUAUUCCUAUUGUACUAUUCAUGGCUGCUUUAUAAUUGAUGUGCUUUCGUUUGUAGAGUGUGCUUGAAUUAUUAAUCAAAUAAGCAGAUUUACUGUAGGAAUUCAUGUAAGCAUAUUUUAUAAACAUCACUAAACUUGCCAUUCA